GACGCCUGCAGCAACCGAUGCCCUCGUAUCUUUGAAUUUUGUCCCAAACCAUGGUCAGUCAGGAACGCUACAGAAUUCCUCACUGGAGGCUGUUUUAGGGUCCCUGGCCAGAACUUCAGCUAAUAGGAGUCUGCAUCUCGAAUAGGA